GAGACCCACGCCAACAGUUGCCAGCUCGUCCUCCGGGAUGGAGGGGACACUGUUGGGACCGCCUCUGCUAAAGAGGAGGAAGGAAUGGGCAACGGUAGGUCAGCAUGCCCCGAAUUACCCGGGCUACACGCGGGCUACAAUGGACAGGACAAUGGGAAUCGACACCGAGAGGUGAAGGCAAUCCCCUAAACCUGCCCUUAGUUCGGAUUGUGGGCUGCAACUCGCCCACAUGAAGCUGGAAUCCGUAGUAAUCGCGGAUCAACAUUCCGCGGUGAAUAU
rnacentral:rRNA from 1 species